rnacentral:misc_RNA from 1 species
GAUGAAGAACGCAGCGAAAUGCGAUAAGUAAUGUGAAUUGCAGAAUUCCGUGAAUCAUCGAAUCUUUGAACGCACAUUGCGCCCCCUGGCAUUCCGGGGGGCAUGCCUGUCCGAGCGUCAUUUCUGCCCUCCAGCCCGGCUGGGUGUUGGGCGCUGUCCCCCCGGGGACACGCCCCAAAGGCAGUGGCGGCGCCGCGUCGGGUCCUCGAGCGUAUGGGGCUUUGUCACCCGCUCGGGACGGACUCGUCGGCGCUGGUCUUCCUCCAGGCGACCCUUCGGGGCUCGUCUUCCUUCGGUUGACCUCGGAUCAGGUAGGGUUACCCGCUGAACUUAAGCAUAUCAAUAAGCGGGGA